UUCAUUGUCUUCUACAGUAGAGCGGGACAUUUGAUUUACUCUCAGCGGAAUUGACCGGAGAAGGCAUCAGUUCAUGCACUGCACUGGCCUGCACCACGAUUAGUAUAAGGCACAUUUCACGAAGCAGAACGCAGUCUUCAGAGAUAUCCACGUGAACGCUGUGAUACGUCUGACCUUCAGUCCGAAGAAGAAACCCAGACCAGUCUUAAAAGAAAGCACAAACCAAAUCCCCUGUACACAUAUACGGACUCAGAGGAUGAGCAGCCC